GAUGAACGCUGGCGGCGUGCUUAACACAUGCAAGUCGAACGAAGCACUCUACUUGAUCUCUUCGGAGUGAUUGUUUUGUGACUGAGUGGCGGACGGGUGAGUAACGCGUGGGUAACCUGCCUCAUACAGGGGGAUAACAGUUGGAAACGACUGCUAAUACCGCAUAAGCGCACAGGGUCGCAUGACCUGGUGUGAAAAACUCCGGUGGUAUGAGAUGGACCCGCGUCUGAUUAGCCAGUUGGUGGGGUAACGGCCUACCAAAGCGACGAUCAGUAGCCGACCUGAGAGGGUGACCGGCCACAUUGGGACUGAGACACGGCCCAAACUCCUACGGGAGGCAGCAGUGGGGAAUAUUGCACAAUGGGGGAAACCCUGAUGCAGCGACGCCGCGUGAGCGAAGAAGUAUUUCGGUAUGUAAAGCUCUAUCAGCAGGGAAGAAGAAAUGACGGUAC
rnacentral:rRNA from 1 species